rnacentral:rRNA from 1 species
GGGAUUAGUGGCGAACGGGUGAGUAACACGUGAGUAACCUGCCCUUGACUCUGGGAUAAGCCUGGGAAACUGGGUCUAAUACCGGAUAUGACUCCUCAUCGCAUGGUGGGGGGUGGAAAGCUUUUGUGGUUUUGGAUGGACUCGCGGCCUAUCAGCUUGUUGGUGGGGUAAUGGCCUACCAAGGCGACGACGGGUAGCCGGCCUGAGAGGGUGACCGGCCACACUGGGACUGAGACACGGCCCAGACUCCUACGGGAGGCAGCAGUGGGGAAUAUUGCACAAUGGGCGCAAGCCUGAUGCAGCGACGCCGCGUGAGGGAUGACGGCCUUCGGGUUGUAAACCUCUUUCAGUAGGGAAGAAGCGUAAGUGACGGUACCUGCAGAAGAAGCGCCGGCUAACUACGUGCCAGCAGCCGCGGUAAUACGUAGGGCGCAAGCGUUAUCCGGAAUUAUUGGGCGUAAAGAGCUCGUAGGCGGUUUGUCGCGUCUGCUGUGAAAGACCGGGGCUCAACUCCGGUUCUGCAGUGGGUACGGGCAGACUAGAGUGCAGUAGGGGAGACUGGAAUUCCUGGUGUAGCGGUGAAAUGCGCAGAUAUCAGGAGGAACACCGAUGGCGAAGGCAGGUCUCUGGGCUGUAACUGACGCUGAGGAGCGAAAGCAUGGGGAGCGAACAGGAUUAGAUACCCUGGUAGUCCAUGCC